AGGAUUAUUAAUUAAAGUAUUUCUGUACAUUAUUUAAAGUCAAUGACAUUACGCAAAGCGUUAUAGUCAUGCAGACGUACAAAAUACGUAAUACGUAUACCCACACUGGUAUCAUGACAAAACUGAACUUAUUAUAAAGUUAAAACACAUCAACGUUUGGGCUAUUAUUGUAUUAUACCGGGUACGAUUAGAAAUUAGUACCGCGCGCUCGAGUACAAGACAGGGAUUCAGUUUCAUGGAAUUGUUAGCUGUAUGGCGUCACGGAAAAUUUUAAUGUUUAUACUUCCAAAAUGUACGUAUAUACCGAAGUUAAUGUAAGCAUCACUAAUGAUAAUUUUAAUUACGGAAAAAAGAAAGAAAUUAAUACGUUAUAAUACGAAUUAGGGACGAGCUGGGUAUCCAGUUUGGAUGCGGUAUCCGGCGGAUCCUGCAGGUUUUUCAGAAUGCGACCGGGUAGCGGAUAAUGACGCCGAGUACGCGUACCCGGCAGUGCCGGAUAAUUCUCCCAGAGAAAAAAGGAAAAAUCUACCUAAUAGAGUUUGUACUGGGAUAGGUACUUUGUCUGAAUUUAUAUUAUUGAUUGCUACUCUAAAUUAUUUGUGAUUUCGAUAUAAUUCUUGUGUUCACUUUUUCUUGUGACCAAGAAAACUUUAGCAUGUUACAAUUUUUGCUAUAUCAGGUUAUGAGGUUUUGAUUAUCAAUAACUUAUUAGUAUGAUUUUGCCACCUUACAGACAUUUAGUGUUCAUAAACAUUGAAACCUCGUUUCAACAGUUUCAACUCAAACCUUUCGUUGAUAAUCCGCCAACUAAGAAUUAAAAUUUCAUUGGUUUGGUAAUUGAACAAUUUGGAAUGGGACUGAAUGUAGUUUGGGACGUUAGUGGGGGUGGUAUUUAAUGAGAUAUGAACCAUUAACCGUGUAUCUCCUUCCCUCCUGCCAAACUUCUACUUCAAAUUCAAAUGGAAGGAAAGGAUGGUUUAAAAAGGACAAGAAAAUAGCAGAAAAGCGAAAAGAAUAAAAAUGUUUGUAAAUAUCAAACCAAGAAUUGUAAAUAUAUUUAGCUGUUGGAGAUAUAAAUAUCUUUUCACUUACGCCAAAACACCACUGGCAAAUUUUGGCGGCCCGGACAAAUGUCCGAGUUGGCUGCCCCCACAGAGGACACAGGAAGCAUUCUAGUAACAACCUACGUCAGGAUCUUCAGGAAUACACGCUCAUGCGAUAUACAAAAAUUGGAGUUAAUCCUUUGUUUUCCAAGGUGUCUGCAAAUGCUUAACUCUGAUAGAGAGCUGAUUCUAAUACAAAAAAAAAUAAAUCGGUUGAUGUUUCGACCUACCUUUCGAAUAAAUAUUAAGUUCUUUGUUUAAAUGUGUAUUUUAGUAAAACUAGUUUCUCUUAUAAACAGAAGGUCUAAUAAUGGUCGGCUACUUUUGCUGUUUGCAACAUCGUUGUCUG